ensembl:snoRNA SNORD14 Small nucleolar RNA SNORD14
UUGCAAUGAUGAAUCGGAUUCCAAAGCCAUUCGUAGUUUCCACCAGAAGUCGAAAGGCUUGUGAUGGUCCAAGUACCUUCCUUGGAUGUCUGAGCGA